AACGAACGCUGGCGGCGUGCUUAACACAUGCAAGUCGAACGCGAAAGGGGCUUCGGUCCUGAGUAGAGUGGCGCACGGGUGAGUAACGCGUAGAUAACCUGUCCUGGUGUCUGGAAUAAUAUCUCGAAAGGGGUGCUAAUACCGGAUAUUCUUGCUUUCUAUAAGGUAUGCAAGGAAAGGUGGCCUCUGGAACAAGCUACUGCACGAGGAGUGGUCUGCGUACCAUUAGCUAGUAGGUGGGGUAAUGGCCUACCUAGGCGACCAUGUUUAGCGGGUCUGAGAGGAUGAUCCGCCACACUGGUACUGGAACACGGACCAGACUCCUACGGGAGGCAGCAGUGAGGAAUAUUGCGCAAUGGGGGCAACCCUGACGCAGCGACGCCGCGUGAGUGAGGAAGGCCUACGGGUCGUAAAGCUCUGUCAAAGGGGAAGAAGUGCAUGGUGGUUAAUAUCUGUCAUGUUUGACGGUACCCUUAAAGGAAGCACCGGCUAACUCCGUGCCAGCAGCCGCGGUAA
rnacentral:rRNA from 1 species